AAUAAAUUAAUUUUUCAUUUUUUAUCUUUAAUUUUUGACUCUUUAUUUUAUUUAAAAAAAUUUUGAGAUUGAUAUUUUUGUUUUUAUUAAAUGAUAAAUCAUAAAUAGUAUUUUACGUGUGACUAAUUUUUUUUAAUUUCCUGAAAAUUUUUCAAAUAAGAUAGAUAGUCAAACGAUGAACACAGAAACCGGAG
rnacentral:pre_miRNA from 1 species